rnacentral:rRNA from 1 species
UGUAAGCGUAUACCAAAGUUGUUGCAGUUAAAACGCUCGUAGUCGGAAUUUGGCAGUUCCGGAUGUGUGCACGUCGUGUGCGCACUUCGCGGGGAUUGCUUUUGUGGUCUUGCGUAGGAUGAGGCACUUUUAUUAGUGAACGUCCUCACGCAACCACUUUUUACUGUGAGAAAAUCAGAGUGCUCAAAGCAGGCAUUUGCCGUGAAUGUAUUAGCAUGGAAUAAUAGAAUAGGACUUGGUUCUACUUUGUUGGUUUGUUGGGACUGAGUAAUGAUUAAGAGGGACAGUUGGGGGCAUUUGUAUUUCGGUGCUAGAGGUGAAAUUCUUAGAUUACCGAAAGACAAACUGCUGCGAAAGCGUCUGCCAAGGAUGUUUUCAUUGA